rnacentral:rRNA from 1 species
UACGGGGGGGGCGAGCGUUGUUCGGAAUUACUGGGCGUAAAGGGCUCGUAGGCGGCCAACUAAGUCGGAUGUGAAAUCCCCAAGCUUAACUUGGGAACUGCAUCCGAUACUGGAUGGCUUGAAUCCGGGAGAGGGAUGCAGAAUUCCAGGUGUAGCGGUGAAAUGCGUAGAUAUCUGGAGGAAUACCGGUGGCGAAGGCGGCAUCCUGGACCGGCAUUGACGCUGAGGAGCGAAAGCUAGGGGAGCAAACGGG